CAGGCAACAUUUCAUUUGUUGCAUUUCCAGUUUCCAAUACCAACUCACCUACAAAGAUUUUACCAAAAACCUUAGGACCAAUAAAUGUGAAUGUUGGACCCCAAAUGAUUAUAAGCACACCACAGAGACUAACCAGUUCAGGAAGUGUUCUGAUUGGGAGUCCAUAUACCCCUGCACCAGCAAUGGUUACUCAGACACACAUAGCAGAAGCUACUGGCUGGGUCCCUGGUGAUAGAAAACGGGCUAGAAAAUUUAUAGACUCUGAUUUUUCAGAAAGUAAACGAAGCAAAAAAGGAGAUAAAAAUGGGAAAGGCUUGAGACACUUUUCAAUGAAAGUGUGUGAGAAAGUUCAACGAAAAGGUACAACAUCGUACAAUGAAGUCGCUGAUGAGCUGGUGUCAGAGUUCACCAAUUCAAAUAACCAUUUGGCUGCUGAUUCGGCUUAUGAUCAGAAGAACAUUAGGCGAAGAGUUUAUGAUGCUUUAAAUGUGCUAAUGGCAAUGAACAUAAUUUC
rnacentral:lncRNA from 1 species